rnacentral:rRNA from 1 species
GGGCAGUAAUGUCUUUAGCUAACUGGUACUAAUAGGUCGAGGGCUUGACCU